ensembl:lncRNA PROX1-AS1 PROX1 antisense RNA 1
ACAGUUGAGGCUGGGAGCAGAAAUAAUCAACAUGCCCAUUAGAUACAGGACGGAAUAAUGCUUCUAUUGGUUGGGUCCCUUCGAGAGAGAACCAUUCUCUGCUUUCAAUAGGACAGAAGAGCUCCUUGGCACUGGAUGCCUCCGGGUCUGGUUGAGAGAGGAAUGGUUAGGAGACUGUUCUGAGGAUACGCAGACAUCAUCCAAAGCUUCCUACAUUCAGAUGAGGACAGAGGUUGGGCCAGAGCUUUGUAAGCUUGUUACCUAAGGAUGGUUCUGACCAUGUAAGCAGAUCACAGAAGGUAAGCCAUGCUGAAGAACUUACAAUAGUUAUACUUCCAGUUUGUCCAUUUUUAUCUCCAUGGGUAGCAAAUAGGUUCAUGAUGCUGUUAUUUCAAUUACUUUACAUCCUGCUAAUGGCUAGUUGUGUGAUCCUGUAACUUAAUUUCUCUGUGCCUCAGUUUUAUCUGAAAGAAAAA